UCCCUGGUAGUCCAGUGGCUAAGACUCUGUACUCUCAAUACAGGCAGCCCAGGUUCUAUCCCUGGUCAGGGAA
rnacentral:tRNA from 1 species